rnacentral:rRNA from 1 species
AUGGGGCAGGAGGCGGAUGCGGAUGAGCAGCUGCAGCGGCGGCUCCGGCGGGUGUUCGCUGCCGAGGAGCGGUCGUUCCGCAUGGAUCGGCGCUCGCCGGCCGCCGCCGACCUCCGCUCCGCCGUCGCCGACGUGCUCCCCCGAUUCCUCGGCAACUACUCCGACGAGACCCUCGCGGAGUACAUUGUAAUUUUAGUUUGUAAUGGGAAACAUCAGUAUCAAGCACGCGAUGAUUUGGAGGCCUUUCUUGGUGAUGAUAGUGCAAAAUUUGUUGCAUGGCUUUGGGGUUACCUAAGCAAAACGGCUGUAGCACUGGCUGAUGAUUCUAGUGUGCAACAUAGACUGGAAAAUGAAAGUCAGGACCGGAAUGAUAAGAAAAAUCUUCUGGUCACAAAAACCCAACCCGGGGAGGCUCAUAUUGUAAACUCAAAUAUCUUAGUACCACAAGAGCAUAAUGGCCUUCACAAGCUUGAUUUAACUAAGGGACAAAAUGUGGCCCAGCGACGCAUUAGUUCAACUGUUACCAUUUCCCCUAAAAUGGUGGCUGGUGACGAAUGUUAUCGGGAGGGCCAGCAUCAGAAGAAAGAUUGGAGUUCAACAGCUGGCAGAAGUUCCUCCGUGCGGCAGUCUGGUGUAGCUGCAAAGACUGAACAUACAUUGAUGCAAGAGGAACCCCAUGAUGAGCAUCUUGGAGGAAAUUCCUCAACAAGACGUUUGCCUGUGGCCGUGGGAACUGAUGAUGGUGAAGUGCCAGAAUCCAUGAGAAGGCCCCGCAAUGUUUGGGACAGGCUAGGGAAGCCUGCUAUGGAGGAUCAAGGUUUAGCUACAGAAGCUGACAACAUGCAUGUUGAAAAUAUAAUGCAUAAGAAGGCCAAGUUAAUGGUGUCUGAGCAUGAACGAAGAUGCCGUGUUAACUCAAGUACGGAAGGCGAUUUAUUUGACAGAGUAAAUUCCGGAAACUUUUCCAGUAGUUACCCAGAUGUCAAUACAGCACACGCACAUGAGCCUGGGGAGAAAUCCAACAGAAGCAGGCUGACCGGUCGGUUGAAUUUUGGUGAUGUGGAGCGUAAUCGUCAUCAAGUUAGAGAUGUUAUUAGCCAGAAGUCUACUUCAACUCCGCCAGUGAAAAGUUUUGGUUCACAAAGUUUGAAUGAGUUCAUAUCCAAGGUGAAGAGCUUACCUGCAUCAGCUUCUGAACCAGCACGGCAUGCAAACUCGUCUAAAGGACAUGUAUCAGCAUCUGACAAAUUGUCCCAGUUAAAUAUGCGGCUAAAUUCAGGAACUGAUGUUUUGCAAAGUCAGCAAAUUAGCAGCCCUGCACAGUCCAAGAGUGGGUCUUCUGUUCGUGAAGAUGGUGGCAAUUACAGUAACAAACCAGUAAAAGAUGAGAUGUUGGAUGUGAAACUAAAGCUAAAGCAGGUGGAACUAGACAUGCUCAAGCUUCGGUCCAAGCAGGCGCAGAUAAACAAUGGGAAGCAAGGAGCCCUCCCAUCAGGGCCCCAUUCGAAUUUAGAGGAGGAUGCCGAUGCCAGAACUGUUCUUGUGACAAAUGUGCAUUUUGCGGCAACCAAGGAAGCAUUAUCAACACAUUUUAUGAAGUGUGGGACAGUGCUUAAGCUCAAUAUGUUGACAGAUGCAAUUACUGGCCACCCAAAAGGGGCUGCAUUUGUUACUUUUGCUGACAAGGAAUCUAUUGGGAGGGCCCUGUCUUUGAGUGGGACGUCGUUUUACUCUAGAGUUCUCACAGUAAUGCGGAAAGCAGAAGCACCUCCUGGAUUUUUGGCGUCUAUUCAGCAGAUUGGGAGGCCGCUGCCAUGGAACUCGCCACCAUUCCAGAAAGGGGUUAGUCCAAAGCAGUCCUCUGGUCAUCAUCUCCAGUGGAAACGCGAGCAGUCUGCCAUGGAAAAUUCCCCUGCCAAUUGCCCUACCGACUGA